rnacentral:misc_RNA from 1 species
AACGCACCUUGCGCUCCCGGCAGAUCUAAUCUGGGGAGCAUGCCUGUUUGAGGGCCGCGAAUUGUUUCGAACGACAACUUUUUUCUUUUGAAGAGUUGGCGGAUCGGUAUUGAGGGUUUUGCCAUUCACCGUGGCUCCCUCGAAAUGCAUUAGCGCAUCCAUUUGAUAGGCAAGACGGACGAAAGCUCGAUUUUCGCUCUCUCUUCCCUGCCGGGUUUUGAUAAUAUCAGGACUUCGGAGAGGUUGAGAUGGGUAAGAGCUGGACGCAACGGCUUGCUGUUUGGUGUGCUUCUGAAACCCGCCCAUAUCGAGCUUUGCCUCGGAAGGGAUUUUAAUAAUUCAUCGGCCUCAGAUUGGUAGGACUACCCGCUGAACUUAA